GAUGAACGCUGGCGGCGUGCCUAAUACAUGCAAGUCGAGCGAACAGACGAGGAGCUUGCUCCUCUGACGUUAGCGGCGGACGGGUGAGUAACACGUGGAUAACCUACCUAUAAGACUGGGAUAACUUCGGGAAACCGGAGCUAAUACCGGAUAAUAUAUUGAACCGCAUGGUUCAAUAGUGAAAGACGGUUUUGCUGUCACUUAUAGAUGGAUCCGCGCCGCAUUAGCUAGUUGGUAAGGUAACGGCUUACCAAGGCAACGAUGCGUAGCCGACCUGAGAGGGUGAUCGGCCACACUGGAACUGAGACACGGUCCAGACUCCUACGGGAGGCAGCAGUAGGGAAUCUUCCGCAAUGGGCGAAAGCCUGGCGGAGCAACGCCGCGUGAGUGAUGAAGGUCUUCGGAUCGGAAAACUCUGUUAUUAGGGAAGAACAAAUGUGUAAGUAACUAUGCACGUCUUGACGGUACCUAAUCAGAAAGCCACGGCUAACUACGUG
rnacentral:rRNA from 1 species